UACGAAGGGGGCUAGCGUUGCUCGGAAUCACUGGGCGUAAAGCGCACGUAGGCGGCUUUCUAAGUCAGGGGUGAAAUCCUGGAACUCAACUCCAGAACUGCCUUUGAUACUGGAGAGCUAGAGUCCGGAAGAGGUGAGUGGAACUGCGAGUGUAGAGGUGAAAUUCGUAGAUAUUCGCAAGAACACCAGUGGCGAAGGCGGACUCACUGGUCCGGUACUGACGCUGAGGUGCGAAAGCGUGGGGAGCGAAC
rnacentral:rRNA from 1 species